rnacentral:misc_RNA from 1 species
GAAUUAUUGUUAAAACGUUCCAAUUUAAUUGGUUUGUUGUUCGUCAGCACUUGCACGUCUUAUUCCGACCUCCGGGGCUGGGUGCCAAUUGCUGGAACGCAGCCGACGUCGAUUUGAGCUAACGCCCAACCCGCGUCAUCUCAAAUACGAGUCUUAUUCUAAGCCGGAAGCAACCCACUUCCGCCUAAGAAUAACUUGGCUACUGAGCAUUGUCACCCAGCCCCUCCAGUCUCAAGCCUGUGAGAGGCCACGGGUUGAAGCCGAGCAUUGCCUAGCCAACGGAUUAAUGCGGUUUUGACAUUAGUCCGUUGGCGUAGCAAGCACAGGCUUUAGCGGUACCGAACACGUUUCAGGAACCCGCUCGAAUGGCAGAUGAACGGCCACUUAACUCGGCACAAUUGGUCGCUGACUAUUUUGACACCGGAACCUUAAACGAAACGUUAGGGUGACAUUAACCGCCUUGUUGAGACGUUCGAUUAUUAUAGUGAUUCGGGAAUAGUGAGCUAUCACAAUGUCAUUUUCUGUCUGACAGUUGAUUGACAAAAUUAUGGUUUAUGAAAAACAAUGACGAAUUUACUAAAAGUUGGGUACACACAUGUCCGCCACUCGAACACUGUCCCGACUGGAAGGCGUUUCGGCCAAUGCUCAGCGGUGAAAUUCCACUUAGCAAGCGUCCUUUGCUUGGUUAGUGGAAGACCAGUAUUUAAGACGUGGUCUUCGGCUUAAAUCUGUGUCCACCGCGUUCCAGCAAUUGGCCGAAAUGCCUGGAGGUCGGUGUUAGGACGCGCUAACAAAACAUGUUUACACUCACUCGACUUUUUUCCAGCGGUCUAAGCUGGCCGACUUUGACUUGACGCGUUUGGAACGUUUUAACAAUAAUUCA